AUUGAACGCUAGCGGCAGGCCUAACACAUGCAAGUCGAGCGAGUGGCGGACGGGUGAGUAAUAUAUGGGGAUCUGCCCAAUAGCGGGGGAUAACUACUCGAAACGGUGGCUAAUACCGCAUACUAUUGGAUGAGCCCAUAUGGGAUUAGCUAGUGGGUGGGGUAAAGGCUCACCAAGGCAACGAUCUCUAGCUGGUUUGAGAGGACGACCAGCAACACUGGGACGGAGACACGGCCCAGAUUCCUACGGGAGGCAGCAGUGGGGAAUUUUGGACAAGGGGGGAAACCCUGUUCCGGCCAUCCCGGGUGUAUGAGAAGGCCUUCGGGUUGUAAAGUCCUUUUGGCAGGGAGGCGGUAUCUGAAGAAUAAGCACCGGCUAAUUACGUGCCAGCAGCCGCGGUAAUA
rnacentral:rRNA from 1 species